rnacentral:rRNA from 1 species
GCAAGUCGAACGGUGACGAUGGAGCUUGCUCUGUCUGAUCAGUGGCGAACGGGUGAGUAACACGUGAGUAACCUGCCCCCGACUCUGGAAUAACCGUGGGAAACGACGGCUAAUACCGGAUAUGAGACGCACAGGCAUCUGUGGGUCUGGAAAGAUUUAUCGGUCAGGGAUGGACUCGCGGCCUAUCAGCUUGUUGGUGGGGUAAUGGCCUACCAAGGCGACGACGGGUAGCCGGCCUGAGAGGGCGACCGGCCACACUGGGACUGAGAUACGGCCCAGACUCCUACGGGAGGCAGCAGUGGGGAAUAUUGCACAAUGGGCGCAAGCCUGAUGCAGCGACGCCGCGUGAGGGAUGAAGGCCUUCGGGUUGUAAACCUCUUUCAGCAGGGAAGAAGCGAAAGUGACGGUACCUGCAGAAGAAGCGCCGGCUAACUACGUGCCAGCAGCCGCGGUAAUACGUAGGGCGCANNCNUUGUCCGGAAUUAUUGNGCGUAAAGAGCUCGUAGGCGGUUUGUCGCGUCUGCUGUGAAAACCUGAGGCUCAACCUCGGNCUUGCAUUGGNUACGGGNANACUANNNUGCNGNACGGGUGACUGGAAUUCCUGGUGUANCNGUGGAAUGCGCAGAUAUCAG